rnacentral:rRNA from 1 species
UACGAAGGGGGCUAGCGUUGCUCGGAAUGACUGGGCGUAAAGGGCGCGUAGGCGGAUUGUACAGUCAGGCGUGAAAUUCCCGGGCUCAACCUGGGGCUGCGCUUGAGACGUGCGAUCUUGAGUGGGGAAGAGGGUCGUGGAAUUCCCAGUGUAGAGGUGAAAUUCGUAGAUAUUGGGAAGAACACCGGUGGCGAAGGCGGCGACCUGGUCCUUGACUGACGCUGAGGCGCGAAAGCGUGGGGAGCAAACAGG